rnacentral:rRNA from 1 species
UACAGAGGUCUCAAGCGUUGUUCGGAUUCAUUGGGCGUAAAGGGUGCGUAGGCGGCGCGGUAAGUCGGGUGUGAAAUCUUGGAGCUUAACUCCGAAACUGCAUUCGAUACUGCCGUGCUUGAGGACUGGAGAGGAGACUGGAAUUCAUGGUGUAGCAGUGAAAUGCGUAGAGAUCAUGAGGAAGACCAGUGGCGAAGGCGGGUCUCUGGACAGUUCCUGACACUGAGACACGAAGGCCAGGGGAGCAAACAGG